rnacentral:rRNA from 1 species
GACGAACGCUGGCGGCGUGCUUAACACAUGCAAGUCGAACGGAAAGGCCCUGCUUUUGUGGGGUGCUCGAGUGGCGAACGGGUGAGUAACACGUGAGUAACCUGCCCUUGACUUUGGGAUAACUUCAGGAAACUGGGGCUAAUACCGGAUAGGAGCUCCUGCUGCAUGGUGGGGGUUGGAAAGUUUCGGCGGUUGGGGAUGGACUCGCGGCUUAUCAGCUUGUUGGUGGGGUAGUGGCUUACCAAGGCUUUGACGGGUAGCCGGCCUGAGAGGGUGACCGGCCACAUUGGGACUGAGAUACGGCCCAGACUCCUACGGGAGGCAGCAGUGGGGAAUAUUGCACAAUGGGCGGAAGCCUGAUGCAGCAACGCCGCGUGCGGGAUGACGGCCUUCGGGUUGUAAACCGCUUUCGCCUGUGACGAAGCGUGAGUGACGGUAAUGGGUAAAGAAGCACCGGCUAACUACGUGCCAGCAGCCGCGGUGAUACGUAGGGUGCGAGCGUUGUCCGGAUUUAUUGGGCGUAAAGGGCUCGUAGGUGGUUGAUCGCGUCGGAAGUGUAAUCUUGGGGCUUAACCCUGAGCGUGCUUUCGAUACGGGUUGACUUGAGGAAGGUAGGGGAGAAUGGAAUUCCUGGUGGAGCGGUGGAAUGCGCAGAUAUCAGGAGGAACACCAGUGGCGAAGGCGGUUCUCUGGGGCUUUCCUGACGCUGAGGAGCGAAAGCGUGGGGAGCGAACAGGCUUAGAUACCCUGGUAGUCCACGCUGUAAACGGUGGGUACUAGGUGUGGGGUCCAUUCCCACGGGUUCCGUGCCGUAGCUAACGCUUUAAGUACCCCGCCUGGGGAGUACGGCCGCAAGGCUAAAGCUCAAAGGAAUUGACGGGGCCCCGCACAAGCGGCGGAGCAUGCGGAUUAAUUCGAUGCAACGCGUAGAACCUUACCUGGGUUUGACAUGGAUCGGGAGUGCUCAGAGAUGGGUGUGCCUCUUUUGGGGUCGGUUCACAGGUGGUGCAUGGCUGUCGUCAGCUCGUGUCGUGAGAUGUUGGGUUAAGUCCCGCAACGAGCGCAACCCUUGUUCACUGUUGCCAGCACGUUAUGGUGGGGACUCAGUGGAGACCGCCGGGGUCAACUCGGAGGAAGGUGGGGAUGACGUCAAGUCAUCAUGCCCCUUAUGUCCAGGGCUUCACGCAUGCUACAAUGGCUGGUACAGAGAGUGGCGAGCCUGUGAGGGUGAGCGAAUCUCGGAAAGCCGGUCUCAGUUCGGAUUGGGGUCUGCAACUCGACCUCAUGAAGUCGGAGUCGCUAGUAAUCGCAGAUCAGCAACGCUGCGGUGAAUACGUUCCCGGGGCU